rnacentral:rRNA from 1 species
AUUGAACGCCGGCGGCAUGCCUUACACAUGCAAGUCGAACGGUAACAGGUCUUCGGAUGCUGACGAGUGGCGAACGGGUGAGUAAUACAUCGGAACGUGCCCGAUCGUGGGGGAUAACGAAGCGAAAGCUUUGCUAAUACCGCAUAAGAUCCAAGGAUGAAAGCAGGGGACCGCAAGGCCUUGCGCGAACGGAGCGGCCGAUGGCAGAUUAGGUAGUUGGUGGGAUAAAAGCUUACCAAGCCGACGAUCUGUAGCUGGUCUGAGAGGACGACCAGCCACACUGGGACUGAGACACGGCCCAGACUCCUACGGGAGGCAGCAGUGGGGAAUUUUGGACAAUGGGCGAAAGCCUGAUCCAGCCAUGCCGCGUGCAGGAUGAAGGCCUUCGGGUUGUAAACUGCUUUUGUACGGAACGAAAAGACUCUGGUUAAUACCUGGGGUCCAUGACGGUACCGUAAGAAUAAGCACCGGCUAACUACGUGCCAGCAGCCGCGGUAACAC